rnacentral:lncRNA from 1 species
GUGGCUUCAUCAGAAUGUUAUGCAAUUAUUUUGUUUUAUUAUUUUUAAUUUAAAUCAUUCUUUAAAGAUUUUUUUAUUUAAUACUAGUUUGUGUGUUAUCUUUGUAAGUAUGUCGAAACAAUGAGCCGUUUACAUGAAGGGACCCCAUUGUAAACAAGCUUUAGAGCUUUCCUGAUAAAAUAUAAGCAAGUUUUUUCAUUGCACUUGAGACUAUACUCAUAAAUUGCCAAUUUAUUUAAACAUGUGUGUGUGUGAUGGUACUGCAUAAGUAUCGUAUGUACAGUGUAAUGCAAU